GUCUUCCAUCUGCCGCCUUCACCGCUAUUCUUCCGCCUCGGUUCGAUUCCCCCUGACCAGGACCCGUCCGUGCUCACUCCCAACGCCAACCCGCCCGUGUUGACUGCCGCCGCCGUCCCCGUCGGCCGUCGCCGUCCCCAACCCAGACCUCGUGCCUGACCCCUCUGUGUUGCGCGCCGCCGGAGAUGAAGAUUAUCUACCUGGAGCAGCACGUGCAGUACCACAAUCACAGGGAGAUGAUGAGCCGGAAGUGGAGAAUGAAGAAUCCAUGAACGACAUUCGAAGUAGGAUCGCCGAUGCUUUGCUUGUGGCGAGAGAGGAGUAGAAUAUUAAUGUUGAUCGAGAACAUUGUUAUGUGAACCAUAUCUUUUGUGUGCGUUUAUCUUUUGUAACUAUUUGAGAACAUUACUAUCUAUUCAUAUUAUCUAUAA